ensembl:lncRNA
GAGUCUGCCGAUAAGAAUGCGGUGAUUGACAGAGUCGAAAAAGCCUUGGCCAGAUCAAUGAAUACGGCUGCACAGUAUUGUCUCUUAUCGAUGGCGGUUAUGAUAUCGUUUAGGACCUUGAGCGUGGCUGAGGUAUACCCGUGACCAGCUCUGAAACCAGAUUGCAUAGCGGAAAAGGUAAGGUGGGAUUCGAAAUGGUCGGUGAUCUGUUUGUUAACUUGGCUUUCGAACACCUUAGAAAGGCAGGGCAGGAUGGAUAUAGGUCUGUAACAGUUUGGGUCUAGAGGCAGGGCAGGAUGGAUAUAGGUCUGUAACAGUUUGGGUCUAGAGGCAGGGCAGGAUGGGUAUAGGUCUGUAACAGUUUGGGUCUAGAGGCAGGGCAGGAUGGAUAUAGGUCUGUAACAGUUUGGGUCUAGAGGCAGGGCAGGAUGGAUAUAGGUCUGUAACAGUUUGGGUCUAGAGGCAGGGCAGGAUGGAUAUAGGUCUGUAGCAGUUUGGGUCUAGAGGCAGGGCAGGAUGGAUAUAGGUCUGUAACAGUUUGGGUCUAGAGGCAGGGCAGGAUGGAUAUAGGUCUGUAGCAGUUUGGGUCUAGAGGCAGGGCAGGAUGGAUAUAGGUCUGUAACAGUUUGGGUCUAGAGGCAGGGCAGGAUGGAUAUAGGUCUGUAACAGUUUGGGUCUAGAGGCAGGGCAGGAUGGAUAUAGGUCUGUAACAGUU